GUAUGGUAUUGGCUUACCGUGGCAGUGACGGUUAACGGGGGAUUAGGGUUCGAUUCCGGAGAGGGAGCCUGAGAAACGGCUACCACAUCUAAGGAAUGCAGCAGGCGCGCAAAUUACCCAAUUCUAACAGUUUGAGAGAGGUAGUAACAAGAAAUAACAAUACAAGGCAGUUAAGAUGCUUUGUAAUUGGAAUGAUAGAAAUUUAGACCCUUUUUAAAGUAUCAAUUGGAGGGCAAGUCUGGUGCCAGCAGCCGCGGUAAUUCCAGCUCCAAUAGCGUAUAUUAAAAUUGUUGCAGUUAA
rnacentral:rRNA from 1 species